rnacentral:rRNA from 1 species
UUUAAGCAUAUAACUAAGCGGAGGAAAAGAAACUAACAAGGAUUCCCCUAGUAGCGGCGAGCGAAGCGGGAAGAGCCCGGGAUGAAAAUCUCUUCGGAGAGUUGUAGUCUGAGCUCCCUUGGGCGGUCAGUGUGGGUAAAUCGUCUGGGAUGACGUGCCAGGGAGGGUGAGAGCCCCGUCCAGCCCACACAGGACCCGCCCGCACGAGGGCGCUUCAACCGAGUCGGGUAGCUUGGGAAUGCUGCUCCAAAUGGUGGUAAAUCUCAUCAAAGGCUAAAUAACGGUGGGAGACCGAUAGCGAACAAGUACCGUGAGGGAAAGAUGGAAAGAACUUUGAAAAGAGAGUGAAAAGCGCUUGAAACCGUCACGGGGGAAGCGGAUUGCGUGAGUGAUGGCGUGCACUGUUCAGCUCAAAUUGUGGAGUGUAUUCUGUGCGCGCCGGGCGUGUGUGGCUGGGGCGCGUGCGAAGUUGGCACGCGGGCCUGGUGAGGGCUCCCCGCUUGUCGGGUGAGGACACACGCGAAAUGACGCAAUACGACCCGUCUUGAAACACGGACCAAGGAGUCUAGCACGGCUGCGAGUCGAAGGGUGUGAAAACCCAGAGGGCGCAGUGAAAGCGAAAGAAAGCAAAUUGGGGAGGCGUUGCGGUUUUACCAAAGUGUCCUACCUCGAGCACCUGUGCUGGGACCCGAAAGAUGGUGAACUAUGCCGGAGUAGGGCAAAGCCAGAGGAAACUCUGGUGGAGGCUCGUAGCGAUGCUGACGUGCAAAUCGCUCGUCGAACUUGGGUAUAGGGGCGAAAGACUAAUCGAACCAUCUAGUAGCUGGUUCCCUCCGAAGUUUCUCUCAGGAUAGCGGGCCGACGACAAGUUGUUUUGUGCGGUAAAGCGAAUGAUUAGUGCAUUUGGGGUCCGAAGGACGUCAGGCGAUUCUCAAACUUUAAAUGCGCAAGGGGGCGGCUGCUUAAUUGAGCCUGCUCUUUGAAAAACGUCGGCCCUGUGGGCCACUUUUGGUAAGCAGAACUGGCGAUAAGGGAUGAACCUUAAGCGCGGUUAAGGCGCCGUAUUGCCCGCUUAUAGACCCCACAAAAGGUGUUG